UCCGUAGGCGGUGCGGCAAGUCGGGAGUGAAAUCUCUGGGCUUAACUCAGGGGCUGCUUCCGAAACUGCCGUGCUGGAGUGUGGGAGAGGCGAGUGGAAUUGCAGGUGUAGCGGUGAAAUGCGUAGAUAUCUGCAGGAACACCCGUGGCGAAGGCGGCUCGCUGGACCACAACUGACGCUGAGGGACGAAAGCUAGGGGAGCAAACAGGAUUAGAUACCCUGGUAGUCCUAGCCCUAAACGAUCAGGACUUGGCGUGGCCCGCGUACGCGGGUCGUGCCGAAGCUAACGCGAUAAGUCCUGCGCCUGGGGAGUACGGUCGCAAGACUGAA
rnacentral:rRNA from 1 species